GAGGGGCCGCGGGCAGGGGGUGCUCGGAGGGCCCGGGGCGCCGGACCCGGCCCCCCCCGCCGCCGCGGGUGCGGGAGCCAGGUGGGUGGAGGGGGCGCGGGCUGCAGCCGGGCCGCGGAGUGCGUGUGCCGCGCCGCCACCCGCGCCGCCGUCCGUCCAGCCCCGGGGCUCGGCGCAGGGCCAGGGCGGCGCCGCCCGCGGAGCCCGGGAGCCGCUCCGGCCCCUCAUGCGGGCCGGGCCGGGCCGGGGGCGGCUUCUCGGCGACCUUAUGUAACCAGGCGGGAGGGGCCGGGGCGGGCACGGGCCUUCCCGGCUCGGGAGCGGGGAGCCCAGGGCGGGAGUCGUGGGAGUGAACUCGCAGCAAGUUUGAGGGACGUGCGGGCCCUGCGCCUCCUCCUUCUCCGCGGGAGGCGGCUGCGGCGGGCGGCACGGGGAGGGCGCCCGAGGCCCGGGAGGUGUGCGGGGGCCGAGUCCCGCCCGGCCAGGCCCGGCCUGAGGGUCCCGGGAGUGGGCGGGCCGGCGCGGCGCCACGCCCCGGGGCUGGGCGGCCGGUGGGGGCGGGUGCCAGCGCCCUCCCUCCCUCCCUCCCUUCCCGCCCCUGCCUCUCCCCGCGUGGCUCCCCCGGGUCCCCGGGCUCAGUCUUUUGCUCCCCUUUGCAGUAUUGCGCGACCUCUGGGAACCCCAAGCCUAGAGCUCCCCCUCCGCGCGCCCGUCCUUCUGCCCCCUGGGCUCCCGGCCAUCUGCCCCCCACCCCCUCGGUCCCGCAUCCCGGAAAGCACGCCCCCUUCCCCUUGCGCCGGGAGUUGGCACCGCCCAGCCCCUUGCGGUCCCGCCCCCGAAGUCCGAGCGGGGUCCGGUCCCCGAGUUCCCGAACCCGGGGCGGCCGCGGGGGCGCAGCGCGUGCACUUCCCUGCUCCGGGCGGGCGGGCAGACGCCAGCUCGGUCCCCGCCCCUCGGCCCCGGCCGGCCCCGGCCCCGGCUUCACGCUCGGCUGCCCCGAGCCGAGCCGCUCGAGUUUGCGCCAGCAGGUUCGCGCCGCAGCCGCCUGGCGCGCCCCAGCCUCGCGCCCCGGGGGGGAGGGAGGGCGCCCGGGGCGGAGCUCCUCGGCACGCGCUCCCCGCGUUCCCCCGCGGCCGCUCCCCGCGGAGGCCUCCCCCAGCCCAGGCCAGGCCAGCCGGGACUCUCUCCGGCCCGUUCUGGGCACGGCUCGGCGCGGACGCCUUCUGGACUCGACUCGAGCGCAGGCCUUUCUCUGGCUUCCCGUCGGCGGGGAAGUGUCAGUUACCGCCCAGCCCCCACCGAGUGGGGGGUCUCCCUGGAGCGGAGGAGGAAGGGCAAGGCCGGUGCAGGCCCUUGGGAUGCUUCUCAGAUGUGGGCUCAGGCCCCUGUACCCGCCCCAUCCAAGAUUCCACUGGCCCAAGACCUGGCAAUUCUUGGGGGGGGGGCGGGGAGGCAGCUCUGAUUUCCUCUUGGGCGGCCAGAUGCGGUUGGCUCAGAUCAGAACGGAGUUCCUGGCUCCUUAGCCUGUUUGCUCUGAGGCCUUCUCUGUGUCCAGCCUGGGGGACAGCCUCCAGGCCCUGCCCUCAGGCAGAUAACAGUCUGGGGGAGAGAUGCCAGCAAUAA
rnacentral:lncRNA from 1 species